GGGGGUAGCGCCGAGUCCUGGGCUGUGUCUCCUGGCACCCUGGGUUCUGGGGCCUGUGCUGCUGGAAUCGCGCUCCUGGGCCUAGCCGGCGCAC
rnacentral:pre_miRNA from 1 species